rnacentral:rRNA from 1 species
GACGAACGCUGGCGGCGUGCUUAACACAUGCAAGUCGAACGGAAAGGCCCUGCUUUUGUGGGGUGCUCGAGUGGCGAACGGGUGAGUAACACGUGAGUAACCUGCCCUUGACUUUGGGAUAACUUCAGGAAACUGGGGCUAAUACCGGAUAGGAGCUCCUGCUGCAUGGUGGGGGUUGGAAAGUUUCGGCGGUUGGGGAUGGACUCGCGGCUUAUCAGCUUGUUGGUGGGGUAGUGGCUUACCAAGGCUUUGACGGGUAGCCGGCCUGAGAGGGUGAACGGCGACAUUGGGACUGAGAUACGGCGCAGACGCCUACGGGAGGCAGCAGUGGGGAGUAUUGCACAAUGGGCGGAAGCCUGAUGCGGCAACGCCGCGUGCGGGAUGACGGCCUUCGGGUUGUAAACCGCUUUCGCCUGUGACGAAGCGUGAGUGACGGUAAUGGGUAAAGAAGCACCGGCUAACUACGUG